UACGUAGGGUGCAAGCGUUUAAUCGGAAUUACUGGGCGUAAAGCGUGCGCAGGCGGUUGUGCAAGACAGAUGUGAAAUCCCCGGGCUCAACCUGGGAACUGCAUUUGUGACUGCACGGCUGGAGUGCGGCAGAGGAGACUGGAAUUCCUGGUGUAGCAGUGAAAUGCGUAGAUAUCAGGAGGAAUACCGAUGGCGAAGGCAGGUCUCUGGGCUGACACUGACGCUCAUGCACGAAAGCGUGGGGAGCAAACAGG
rnacentral:rRNA from 1 species